CUGGACUCGAGGACGAACGGCUGGCGGCGUGCCUAAUACAUGCAAGUCGAACGGUACUUUCUAGUGGAAGCUUGCUUCCACUGAGAAGAUAGUGGCGAAACGGGUGAGUAACACGUGGGUAACCUGCCCAUAAGAGGGGGAUAACAGUCCGGAAACGGGUGCUAAUACCGCAUAGUUUUCUUGAUCGCAUGAUCGGGAAAGGAAAGACGGCCUUUGUGCUGUCGCGUUAUGGAUGGACCCGCGGCGUAUUAGUUAGUUGGUGAGGUAACGGCUCACCAAGACGAUGAUACGUAGCCGACCUGAGAGGGUGACUCGGCCACAUUGGGACUGAGACACGGCCCAAACUCCUACGGGAGGCAGCAGUAGGGAAUCUUCCGCAAUGGACGAAAGUCUGACGGAGCAACGCCGCGUGAGUGAAGAAAGGUUUUCGGAUCGUAAAACUCUGUUGUCAGAGAAGAACAAGUUGGAGAGUAACUGCUCCAGCCUUGACGGUAUCUGACCAGAAAGCCACGGCUAACUACGUGCCAGCCGCCGC
rnacentral:rRNA from 1 species